CACGUAGGGCGCAAGCGUUGUCCGGAAUUAUUGGGCGUAAAGAGCUCGUAGGCGGUCUGUUGCGUCCGCUGUGAAAACUCGGGGCUUAACCCCGAGCCUGCAGUGGAUACGGGCAGACUAGAGGUAGGUAGGGGAGAAUGGAAUUCCCGGUGUAGCGGUGAAAUGCGCAGAUAUCGGGAGGAACACCGGUGGCGAAGGCGGUUCUCUGGUCCAUUACUGACGCUGAGGUGCGAAAGCGUGGGGAGCAAACAGG
rnacentral:rRNA from 1 species